rnacentral:lncRNA from 10 species
GGAACCUGCUGACAUGUGAUGUCUCCCCCAGGCACCCAGCUUUAAAAUUUCUCUCUUUUGUACUCUUUCCCUUUAUUUCUCAGACUGGCGGACACUUAGGGAAAAUAGAAAAGGACUCAUGUUGAAUUAUCGGGGUUGGGUUCCCCUGAUAUAUAUGCCUAUUUUUUUUUAACCAGUGUCAUGCUGUUUUGGUUACUGUAGCACUGUAAUAUUGUUGGAUGUCUGGUAACGUGAGGCCUUCAGCUUUUGUUUGUUUGUUUGUUUUGUUUUAUUUUGUUUUUUGCUUAGAAUUGCCUUGGCUAUUUGGGCUCUUUUGUGAUUCCAUAUAUAUGUUAAAAUAGUUUUUCCUAGGUCUGUGAAAAUUGUCAUUGGUAGUUUGAUAGGAAUAGCAUUGAAUCUGUAAAUUGCUUUGGGCAGUGUGGUCAUUUUUACAAUAUUGAGUCUUCCUAUCCAAGAGCAUGGGAUGUUACCAUUUGUUUUUGUCUUCUCUAAUUUAUUUAAGCAGUGUUUUGUAAUUCUCAUUGUAGAGAUCUUUCACCUCCCUGGUUAGCUGCAUUCCUAUGUAUUUUAUUCUUUUUGAAGCAAUUGUGAAUGGGACUGCCUUCCUGAUUUGGCUCUUGGCUUGGCUCUUCUUGGUGUAUAGAAAUGCUAGUGAUAUGUGCACAUUGAUUUUGUAUUCUGAAACUUUGCUGAAUUUGUUUAUCAGCUGAAGGAGUUUUUCGGUACAGACUAUGAGGUUUUCCAGAUAUAAAAUCAUCUCACAUACAAACAGAAAUAGUUUGACUUCCUGUUUUCCUAUUUGGAUGGCCUUUAUUUCUUUCUCUUGCUUGACUGUUCUGGCUAGGGCUUCCAAUACUAUGUUGAAUAGAAAUGGUGAGAAUGGACAUCCUUAUCUUGUGCCAGUUUUCAAGGGGAAUGCUUCUGACAUUUGCCCAUUCAGUAUAAUGUUGGCUGUGGGUUUUUUAUAGAUGGCUGUUAUUAUUUUGAGGUAUGUUCCUUCGGUACGUAGUUUAUUGAGAGUUUUUAACAUGAAGAGAUGUUGAAUUUUGCCAAAAGCCUGUUCUGUGUUUAUUGAGAUAAUCAUGUGGUUUUUGUUUUUAGUUCUGUUUAUGUGAUGAAUCAAAUGUAUUGACUUGCAUAUGUUAAACCAACCUUGCAUCCUGGGGAUGAAGCCCACUUGAUCAUGGUGGAUUAGCUUUUUGAUGUGCUUCUGGAUUCAUUUUGCAAGUAUUUUCUUGAGGAUUUUUGUAUCAAUGUUCAUCAAAGAUAUUGGCUGAAAGUUUUGUUUUUCUGUCGUGUCUCUGCCAGGUUUUGGUAUCCAGAUGAUUCUGGCCUUAUAGAAUGAGUUGGGGAGGAUUUCCUCUUCCUCAAUUUUCUGAAAUAGUUUCUGUAGAAAUAGUACCAGCUCUUCUUUGUACAUGUGGUACAAUAAGGCUGUGAAUCCAUCAGAUCCUGGGGGUUUUUUUGUUACUAGGCUAUUUAUUACAGAUUCAAUUUCAGAUCUUGCUAUUGGUUUGUUGAGGAAAUCAAUUUCUUCUUGGUUCAGUCUUGGGAGGGUGUAUGUUUCCAGAAAUUUAUCCAUCUGUUCUAGGUUCUGUACUUAUUAUGCAUAGAGGUGUAAAUAGUAGUUUCUGAUGGUUAUUUCUAUUUCUGUGGGGUCAGUGAUAACAUUCCCUUCAUGAUUUCUACUUGAGUUUAUUUGGAUCUUCUCUCUUUUCUUAUUUAUUAGCCUAGGGAGUGGCCUAUCUUGUUAUUUUUUAAAAAAAAACAACUCCAACUCCUGGAUUUGUUGAUAUUUUGAAUUUUUUCUGUCUCAAUUUCCUUCAGUUCAGCUCUGAUUUCGAUUAUUUCUUGUCUUCUGCUAGCUUUAGGUUGAUUUGUUUGUGCUACUUUAAUUCUUUCAGUUGUGAUGUUGGGUCAUUAAUAUAAGAUCUUUCUAACUUUCUGACUUGGGCAUUUAGUGCUAUGAAUUUCCCUCUCAACAGUGCCUUAACUGUGUCCCAGAGGUUCCCCUAUGUUGCAUCAUUGUUUUCAUUAGUUUCAAAGAUCUUCUUGAUUUCUGACUUAAUUUCAUUAUUUACUCAAACGUCAUUCAAGAGCAUGUUGUUUAAUUUCCACGUAAUUGCAUGUUUUUGAGCAAUGUUCUUAGUCUUGUCUUCUACUUGUAUUGACAUUGUGGUCUAAAAGUGUGUUUGGUAUGAUUUUGGAUCUUUUGCUGUUGCUGAGGAUUGUUUUAUGUCCAAUUAUGUGGACAAUUUUAGGAUAUGUGCCAUGUGGCAUCAAGAAGAAUAUAUAUUCUGUUGUUUUGGGGUGGAGAGUUCUGUAGAGGUCUAUCAGAUCCAUUUGGUCCAAUGUUGAGUUCAAGUCCUGAAUAUCUUUGUUAAUUUUCUGCCUUGCUGAUUUGUCUAAUACUGUCAGUGGAAUGUUGAAGUCUCCCAAAUAGAUUUUAGGUUGCUGGUGUUUUUGUUUUUUAGAUUUUUUUUUCUCUUUGCACGUUAAAUAUGUUGUUUCAUAGUCUUCUGUGCUCUUUUGCUUCUGAUGUUAAGUUCACUGACAUUCUAUCCUUCCCAUCCCCUACUACAGUAUCUAAUGUAUUAUGUUUUGUUUUCCCCUUCAACUCUUUUGAAAAGUUUUCAUUAUUUUGGUUUUCAGCUAUUUGAUUAUGGACAUUCCUUGGUUUGCUGCUCUGAGCCUUGGCACUGUCCCACAGGUUACUCAGACUCUAUUUAAUUUUUAAGUUCUAUAGGACCAGCAUGCUGUGCCCCACCCCCAACCUGCUGCUGUGAUGUACAAAGAGCCAAUGUUAGAUAUACUGAGUAGCUUACCUCACUUGUUUCCCUUCCCUCAUGAAUCACAAUUUUGCUGACUAUCCAAUAAGAGUGAACAUGUGGUUCCCCAUUUAAAGUGAAAGCUUUCUUUUG